GACUCUGACGUUGCCAGUCCAGACGUUAUGAUGUUAUAAUAUGAUGACAUAUGACAUGAUGACGUUGCAGCUCUCCUAGAUGUGGCUGAACAUGUUUACCAAUGUAGCAGUAGUAUGUCCCAAUUGUGCCAAAUGUCCAAUGAUAUUAUGAAUUUGGCAUCAUGAGAAGACCAUCAAGUAAGUGGCUACCGGAAGACAUAUUAUGUGUGUUUGUUUGACAGCCUCCGUUACCAUUCCAAGAUUACCUUGUCCACAGACAGUUAUCCUCUGAUUAAAUUACAUGACUGACAUAUAACAUAAAUGUGUAUCUUUUUAUAUCUGUGAUUAUCAAAACUUAAAUUAAAUCAGAAUUAGUGAAUAUAAAAAUAGCUUUUAAAUAGUUUUCAGUAGCAUGAUGGGUUUUCAUUUAUGAAAAAUACUGUAUAUGUUUGGACUUUAUUUUUAUUGAGGUGUAUCAAUCAAUUACUUGUUUCAAAAGCAAUUGUGUGUAAACAGAUAUUUGGAUACAGCUUUUUAAAAUUUUAAAGAUUUUAGCAGUUGCAUUUAGGAAUCAUUUCCUAUUAUUUAGACACUAAAUAACUGAUAUGCACUAUUUAGGAAUUACUAUUUUCCAUAUUUUGCACCCUCGGUGUGAUAGACUUUUAUUUGAUUUGCAAUGUAACUUGAUGAAAUGAAACUAAAAAACCAAGAUCUAAAUGACUUUGUAUUUUGAACUUUAUUGCAUCAUUUAUUUUUACCCACGUAAAAAAUUUAUUUCAAGUUGUUCAAUAUGUAUCAAUAACAGGCACAGAUGCUGGUUAGUGCUGAUAUUAACUUGAUUUUCAAAAGUUGCAUAAAAAAGUUAAUCUUAAUAAAAUAAUAUUGAUUGUCGCGUUCA